AACGAACGCUGGCGGCAUGCCUAACACAUGCAAGUCGAACGAUACCUUCGGGUCUUGUGGCGCACGUGUGCGUAACGCGUGGGAACCUGCCCUUAGGUUCGGCAUACCUCCCCGAAAGGGGUGCUAAUACCGGAUAAUGUCUUCGGACCAAAGAUUUCUCGCCUUUGGAUGGGCCCGCGUUGGAUUAGCUAGUUGGUAGGGUAAAAGCCUACCAAGGCGACGAUCUAUAGCUGGUCUGAGAGGAUGAUCAGCCACACUGGGACUGAGACACGGCCCAGACUCGUACGCGAGGGAGCAGUGGGGAAUAUUGGACAAUGGGGGAAAGGAUGAACAAGCAAUGCCGCGUGAGUGAUGAAGGCCUUAGGGUAGUAAAGCUCUUUUACCCGGGAUGAUAAUGACAGUACCGGGAGAAUAAGCUCCGGCUAACUACGUG
rnacentral:rRNA from 1 species